CCUACGGGAGGCAGCAGUGAGGAAUAUUGGUCAAUGGCCGGAAGGCUGAACCAGCCAAGCCGCGUGAAGGACGAAGGUGCCAAGCAUUGUAAACUUCUUUUGUCAAGGGACAAAAUCAGGCUCGAGAGCCUGACCGAGGGUACUUGAGGAAAAAGCAUCGGCUAACUCCGUGCCAGCAGCCGCGGUAAUACGGAGGAUGCAAGCGUUAUCCGGAAUGACUGGGCGUAAAGGGUGCGUAGGUGGUUUGACAAGUUAGUAGCGUAAUUCCGGGGCUCAACUUCGGAACUACUACUAAAACUGUUGGGCUUGAGUGCAGGAGAGGUGAAUGGAAUUCCUAGUGUAGCGGUGGAAUGCGUAGAUAUUAGGAGGAACACCAGCGGCGAAAGCGAUUCACUGGACUGUAACUGACACUGAGGCACGAAAGCGUGGGGAGCAAACAGGAUUAGAUACCCUUGUAGUC
rnacentral:rRNA from 1 species